rnacentral:lncRNA from 1 species
AAGAAAGCCGAGUGAUGGAAUCACCGCGGCGGCCGUCGGAAGGACCCGCCCGGAAACGCCGACCAAGAGGGCCCCAUGUCAGUUAUGCGCGGGAGUGACGUCUCCUAACGCCAGCGCCCGCGCCCGCGCCCCAGGAAGUAGGGUUUGCCUUAGUGACUGUAUUUUUAAAUUCAUUGACACCCAAAUUCUAUGUGGCACUUACAGGGACCUCUUCAUUGAUAUCAGGACUAAUAUUUAUAUUUGAAUGGUGGUACUUCCAUAAGCAUGGCACAUCUUUUAUUGAGCAAGUAUCUGUAAGCCAUUUGCAACCACUGAUGGGAGGAACAGAGAGCAGCAUUUCAGAACCAGGUUCUCCUUCGAGGAACAGAGAAAAUGAAACCAGCAGACAGAAUUUGUCAGGUGACUACUUUUCUAAUGUGUUUUCAGAGCUGUGUAUUUAAGAUUGAGUUUGGCUCUGGGAGAUAGAAAACUCAAAACAGCAGAGUGCUGUGGUGUGCAUGUUUGUGUUUCCCCCAAAAUUCUAAUCACCAAUGUGAUGUUACGAGGUAGGGUCUUUGGGAGGUGAUCAGGUCAUGAGGGCAG